ensembl:lncRNA
UUUUUUUUCCAAGAGGAAUUUCAGUUUUGCUGAAAGGUUUUAUUUCCGAGCAGUUGCAGCCUUGGCAAUGCCCAACUGGGAAGCUCUUUGCAAUGGAGCACAAUGCAGCCCCGGAAGAUGGAGAGCACAGUCAGUUUUCUGCCCGUUUUACAGAUCGGAAGGCUGAGGUGUGAUCUACCCUUCAUUUUAUUCCAUGCUUCAAGGUCUGGUGGUUGGCGACCCUCCACAUAGCAGGGGGGUUGAAAUGAGGUGUUCAUUGUGGUCCUUUUCAACCCAGGCCGUUCUUUGAUUCUAUGAUCACUGAAUCAUAGGAACUGUGAUGCCUUCUACGGAGCAUGAGCUCCCUAGUAAAUUCAAUACAACAAUCUAAAAAAAAAAUAAAAAAUCCCAUUUUAAGUUUAAACAUAACCAAAGAUUAAAGCAAGAGCACCUUAUGUACAAAAUGACAUUCCUCCCUUUGAGCAGGCAAAGAAUUGGAGACUCCAAGGAUAUUAUUGUUGAUUUAGGUAAACCACAGCUCUCCAAGCCUUGCAUGCUGUCCCCAAUGGGACAGUAGCAGCAUCCUUAGAGGGACACAGUUGUGGAAAAUGUCUAAAAUAGGAUAAAGCAGUGUUGAAGCACUGAUUGAGGUGGUGUGUUUGCUGCAGUGGCCCUGGACAUCUGCUGGGUUUUGGGUGUAGGACUUGAAGCUUGGUGUCCAGUGAGUGCUCCAGCAGCAGAGGUGAUCAAGGGCUAGGAGAGGGAGGACGGCCUUCACUUCUGCCUUGGAUCAGAAGUGCUCCCAUAGCAUAACAAACCAUUUUUGUUUUAAUUUUCUUUUGGACAAGUUGAGAUUUUCUAAGAAAAGAAAAGAAAACAGACUCCUGAUGUACUCCAACCUGUGCCAGUUUCUACCCACUCGUGCAAAGGAUGUGGGCAGUGAGGGUCAGAGGACUUGUGGGACCAGACUGAGAGUGAAAAACAGGUUUCUGAGGGCUCCUAUGACAAAUAACUUUUGUAUUAAGGAGUCUUUCAGAUAGAGGCAGAAUUGUAUUUUCACACCCCAGGUAGAAAGGAUGCAGACACCAGGUGGAAUUUGUAGUGCUCCCUUUCCUGCAUCCCCAGCUGCCACAGGCGUUUGAAGAUUUCAGAUGGGGAAAUAAAUGAAUGGAUUUCUCCAAACCUCAUUCCUUGCACAAUCCUUUCACUCUUCAGGGGUACCAAAAUGAGCUCAGCCCAAGGAUGCUUGCGCCAAUUUGUGUGUGCAACAAAGGGAAUGAAAUGCAUACUUCAGCAAAAGGUUUGGUGUCCUACAACACAGAGCAUACUGCUGCUCAGAGGGCUGGCCUCAGAGACCUCAGGAAAGCCACUCAAACAGAAGCUCAUGGCUGAAAUAUGUGAAUUUCCAAAAAGCUGUGAUGUUGGCCUUCAUCAGGCAAACCAUGAUCAUACAGCGAGCAAUGCUGCCUGGGAAGCAGUGACCAAAAAGGAUCUGAGGUCCAACUGUUAAGUCCCAACACCCAAUGUGAUGCUAUGGACAAUGAAGCUGAUGGGGCAUUGUGUGUUUGACGUGGAAGAGUGCAGUGCGUCUGCAGCCCUCGCUUUUGUGAGCUCUCUGCCAGGCUUGGAACUGCCCCAGAUCUGAUGAUGAACCUGCAGAAGAGAGCAGGAGGUGGACAGAAGGUUUCCUUGAGGAAAGAUUCUGAGAACUCAAAUGGGAUCUCAAGUUAUGAAGGUACAGAUUAAAGGCCAUGAGAAGAUGUACAGAGAUAACUGUGGUGAGCUUGGAGGGACCACAUUCAUCCAUUCUGAGCUGCACUCAGUCAUUGGAUCAUCAGAGAAUCAUAGAAUGUCCCAAGUUGGCAGCAACCUCAACGAUCCUUGAGUCCAGCUCCUGGCUCCCUGCAGGACCACACAAGAACCAAACCAUAUGUCUGAGAGUGUUGUCUGAAUUCUUCUUGAACUCCAUGAGGCCUGGUGUCAUGACCACUGCCCUGGGGAGCCUACAAAGAAAGUAAAGCCUGAAUGCACGCUAAAGCCUCUCCUGCUGUGCUGCUUGUUCCAGCCUGGUAGGAGGAAGCUCAGCCCUCCUUAUGGAUCUGUCCUCAGAUAUGGGAAGAAGGUACAAAACACAGCAUAUAGAGCAACCAGUAGCUGUUACUGCUAGACGUCACAUAUUGAAGUCCUGCACUACCUCUAGACGUGGACACUGGGAAGAGACAGAGCAAAUAUCAGAUGUGUGCAUCAGCAGAACAGCCAACAGCUCCAGGAAUUCUGCAGGAGCAUCUCCAUUCCUCAGGGGCUCAUCGAGAUUGACAGUGUUUGUCAUGGGAAACGAAAACUUUCAGCAUUUCCAUUUGGAAGAGAGAAGUGCAAGGAGAAAGCUGCAUUCAGACUCUGUCAUCCCACUUUGUUUUGACUUCUGUGCUAAACCAAGACAAAACAGGAUGAAGCAAGACUCUGUGAAGCUAAAAUAAAGUUUUUUUUUUUUAAUCCCAAUAUGCUGAGAUUAAAAAAAAAUAAAAUAAAAUACCCGUGAGAGAUUUCAAAAUGUCAGCUAUCAAUUUUUGACAGAAAUUUUAAAGUUUUUGAAGGCACAAAAAUCUCUCUUGCCCAGGAAGUCUAAACUAAAGCCUCCAAAUGUCCCUACUGGGAGACAGGAUAAAUUAUAUUGCUGUUAAGAG